rnacentral:piRNA from 1 species
GCGCUUUCUCAUAGCUCACG